rnacentral:rRNA from 1 species
UGGGGAAUAUUGGACAAUGGGCGAAAGCCUGAUCCAGCCAUGCCGCGUGUGUGAAGAAGGUCUUCGGAUUGUAAAGCACUUUAAGUUGGGAGGAAGGGCAGUAAGCGAAUACCUUGCUGUUUUGACGUUACCGACAGAAUAAGCACCGGCUAACUCUGUGCCAGCAGCCGCGGUAAUACAGAGGGUGCAAGCGUUAAUCGGAAUUACUGGGCGUAAAGCGCGCGUAGGUGGUUCGUUAAGUUGAAUGUGAAAGCCCCGGGCUCAACCUGGGAAGUGCAUCCAAAACUGGCGAGCUAGAGUAGGGCAGAGGGUGGUGGAAUUUCCUGUGUAGCGGUGAAAUGCGUAGAUAUGGGAAGGAACACCAGUGGCGAAGGCGACCACCUGGGCUCAUACUGACACUGAGGUGCGAAAGCGUGGGGAGCAAACAGG